UAAGGAAUAUUGGUCAAUGGACGGAAGUCUGAACCAGCCAUGCCGCGUGGAGGAUGAAGGUCCUCUGGAUUGUAAACUUCUUUUAUCUGGGAAGAAAUCCAUCUUUUCUAGGGUGGUUGACGGUACCAGAUGAAUAAGCACCGGCUAACUCCGUGCCAGCAGCCGCGGUAAUACGGAGGGUGCAAGCGUUAUCCGGAUUCACUGGGUUUAAAGGGUGCGUAGGUGGGCAGGUAAGUCAGUGGUGAAAUCCUGUAGCUUAACUACAGAACUGCCAUUGAUACUAUCUGUCUUGAAUACCCUGGAGGUGAGCGGAAUAUGUCAUGUAGCGGUGAAAUGCUUAGAUAUGACAUAGAACACCCAUUGCGAAGGCAGCUCACUACGGGAAUAUUGACACUGAGGCACGAAAGCGUGGGGAUCAAACAGGAUUAGAUAACCCUGGUAGUCCACGCCCUAAACGAUGGAUACUCGACAUCAGCG
rnacentral:rRNA from 1 species